rnacentral:lncRNA from 1 species
AAUUUUUUGGGAUUCCUUUUAGGUUUCGCUCCCCCAAUUAGAAAAUAAUAGAACGAAAAAACUCACUUCCUAGUUAAAUGAAUAGUAAUAAAACAAUCCUAAAUCACUGCUGAAAACAUAACAAGCUGCUGCAUCAAUGGUAGGGCGAUUUACAGCGUGUCAACGCCAGCCCAUUUUUUCCCCAGGUAAAUUCUCUUCUCUUCUAUUUACAAUCGAUUUACAGUAGAAUCAAUUUCCCUCUUGAAUCGACUUCACUGCCGAAAAAACCUAACCCGCUGCUACGUCAACGGCAGUGUGAUUUACGGUGUGUCAACGGCAAUGCGAGUGCGUCAAUGGCAGCCCAUCUUUUUCCAAGGUAAAUUCUCUUUUCUUUUAUUAACAAUAAAUUGACCCCUCUUCUUCCAAUCGAUUUACAGUAGCUUUUGUAUUGAUGCUGGUCUAUUGAUCUACAGUAAAUCAGUUCCUAUCUCGCUAUUCAACAACCUGCCGUAGUGCUCAUCCAUCUUCUUCCCCUGUUAACUUAUCUUUUUUCCCUAUUAAAUCAGUCGCUUGCGAUCAAUUUAUUGUAGAUUUUGGAAUGAUUCUUGUUGAUUGAUUUACCAAAGAUUCGGUGUACAUUAAUAUGAUAAAAGUCAUGUUAUUAUUUGGAUGUAGAAAAUUCCGGCUCCGCCUUUGGUCCUCUUCAGAGAAGUGGACAUCUUGUUUCAUUUAUUUUUCUCUGUUGACCGGUAGAGGUGAAGUAUUUUUAGGUUCUUUAUUUAGUUCAGUUGUUCUAAAAGUUUGUUGGUAACUAAGAUAAUAAUGUUUGGAGAGAAAAAGGUAUGGCUUCCUGGAAUGAUCAAUUGGGCUCACUCGUGAUAGGUGGAUAGAUGAACAAAAGAAACUAGCCAACGUCUCUCCUGAAUCUCCAGAGUAAGUAUUCUACAACUUUAGUAGUAUAAUAAAUUAUUAGUUUGUCUAAGAUUUAACUUUAAAUCCUUUGAACUUGAUAAAGAUGAAUAGACCAAUUCAAUAUAAUCAAUAUUUACUAAAGUAGUUGAACUAUAUAUCAUGGCACAAAAAUUCUCCCUGGCAAAUACUUAAUUAGUUUUAGCUAGCCUCUCGCCCAACCAAAUCGAUUAUUCUAGUUUCUAAAAUCUUCUGCUAGUUGCAAACUAACUCACUGGGAUAUAUUCAAAAAAAAAAAAAAAAAAANNNNNNNNNNNNNNNNNNNNNNNNNNNNNNNNNNNNNNNNNNNNNNNNNNNNNNNNNNNNNNNNNNNNNNNNNNNNNNNNNNNNNAAAAAAAAAAAAAAAAAAAAGAAGAGAGAGUUGUUUCCUCUAAUACUGAUUAUGUAAUAAGGAUUGUACUAUGUAAUAGGAUAAUAGUCCCUUAUAAUAGUAAGAAUUGCCUAAUUGGGUGGGAUACUAUUACUACUUUAAACCAGUGUACUAAUUUUCUCUAAGUGUUGCAUUUGUCCGAUCCUUUCCCAUACCUUUGCAGAGAAGUAGGCACUAAAUUGGUUGGAAACAUAUUCCAUCUUCGUCCCUUUUUACUUUAUUUUGUGUGUUAUCCACUUGGCUAUGCUGAAUGCAAUGCGGCAUUCCUUUGAAAUGCAUACCAAGUUGAAGCCCAGACACGUCUCUUAACCUCUAUAUGUACAUAAUAUGGUGUGCUUAAACAUGUUUUCUUCCAUAAGUGAUUAAUCUUUAAUUGUCUAAGAGCAUAUCUAUAGGAUAUUAAUCUUUAGAUACCAUGACAUUUCGCAAUCAAUAACCUGCAAUGUUCGAAGCCCUGUUACAGCUAUCAUUUAUUUUGGUUGAAUGAUUAAAGAACCUUAGUUUAUUGCUAGAGAUCCUGCCAUUAGGAACAAUAGUAAAUCAGCUAAGGCACAAUUUACUAGACAUGAGAAAGAACAAGUUAAACUUCUCACAGGAAUAAAUAACACUUUUGAAUAGGAUUGUCUUUAAGCACAAUCUGGUAUGUUGUCAUCUUUAGAUGUUGCUGUUGUUUAGAUGUUGCUGUCAUUUAGAUGCUUAUUUGGAUAUGAGUCUUUCCUUUUCCUUAUUGUGGCUGGGGCAAUCUACAUAUGUUGUCGUUUAGUUGCACUUUGCAAAGCAUUUGCUUAAUUCUUGCUUUCAGUUUUGCUUCUUGAUUGAAUUUUUGUUUGAAUUAAGUGUUGGUUCGACUAUCUUCGGCUAAGAAGAUUGUUGGAUUGGAGAAUCAAACUAUUUUUACUAAGCUUCAGUAGGUAGUUGUUGAAGUUUGGGUUCUAAUCAAUUUGAUUGAAAUGUUCAUAUUUUAGCUUAGUUGUUUUUGCUUAUAGAUGUUUGGUGAGUGAGUUGGCUACUUUAACAGUGAUAGAAUGUUCAAGAUGUUUUUUCACAUUAUACUUCAUCUUUUAACUGAGGGAUUUGGUACUCUAAUAGUGAUGGAAUGUUCAAGAUAUUUUUUCACAUUACACUUUAUCUUUUGACACAGUUAUUUUAUAAUUUCAGGUCAUACCCUCUGAUGUUAGAUAAUUUAGUUGGUGAAGAUUUCAAAAUGAUGAAAAGUUGCGGAAAUCAUUUGAAGACCACCAUUCGUCUGUAUUAGUUAUCUAAUGGCAUUAGCUAUUUAGUCUAAACAAUAUAUUUUUAUGUUUUAAAUUAAUAUAAUAUUAAUAUUUUUGAUUAGUACUUCCUUUUGUUUGUGAAGAUUAAUGAGAUACAUUAUGUUUUUUUGAAUUAAUAUUAAUAUAUUUUAUUAUUGUCAUAUUUUGUACGAAUAAAGUAACUAUUACGUAUUAAUUAGGCUAAACUAU